AUGAUCAGUAAAAACAUGCAUCGCGUGGACACUGAAAAUCUUGAGGAAGAAAAACAGUGUUCACCAAUAGUUGACUUGCCAGUGGACAACACUCUGUUUAGGGAAUCAACUUCAGAGACGUUUCUCCUCAAGGGCACAAAGAUGUCAGACAUUCCGGAGGAGCCGGAGGAGAUUUAUGAAAGUAGCCACCCUUCCAUCGUGCCCCUGAAAGAAGCUGCGCAGAGAGCGGAGGAACAGGGAAAAAUCAACUACAUUACGUUGGGAAAAGGCGAAGGUCACAAAAAUACCUCUAGAUGGAGAGAAGAAGCUCAAAGAUGGUCCUAAUGCUGUUUAUACUGUUCUUGCCAAGCAACUGAGAGAGGAGAUGGAAGAGUCUGGCGUCUGAAGUGGUCAACUAAUGGAAGAAAUUGUGAAACCACAGGGAUUUUUUUAAACUACAUGUACUUACUAAUGGACCACUUGAAGUAGCCUGAAUGUCAGAGACUUGAAAAUAGGCCACACCAGUGAAAUCUCCACUGGAUGUUUUGUUCAAUUGUGUCCAGCUGCAGUUUGCUUUAAUAAAAUCCAGCUGCUCAAAACUAAUUUUGGGAUCAAGAAGAUUUUUUUUUAUGUUUUUACAAGAUGUCUCUUAUGCUCAAGAAACAUUUCUUAUUGUUGUUUUGAUGUUGAAAACAGUUGUGCUGCUUGAUAUUUUUGUGGAAACUCUGAUACAUUCUUUUCAGGAUUCUUAUAAAUAGAAAGUUCAAAAUAACUUUUGAAGUAGAAAUUUGAAAUAGACAUUUUUGGAACAUUAUAAAUGUUUUUACUGUCACUUUUGAACAAUUCAAUGUAUCCUUGCUGAAAAAAAUAAUAAUUUCAAAAAACACAUUUUACUGGCUCCAAAAAUUUGAAUGGUAGUGUAUGCGCUAUAUGUUUGAGUGUAACACGAUUAAAAACCCAUAAAAAAAAAAAAUAAAAAAAUAAAAAAUCAUCCCAAUUAAAUAUUAAAUUACUGACAUGAUAAAUUCACGGGAAGAUCCAAAUAAAUAAUAAUUUCUUACAAUGCCAACAAAGUCUGUUUUCAUAUAUUUUCUAGCAUUAAUACACAAUUUAUUGCAAUUACUGAAAUUAAAAUCAAAAUACUAAGUACUGGUCUGUUUCUAUUUAAGAAAAUUGCUUACUAUAUAUAUAUAUAUAUAUAUAUAUAUAUAUCCCAACCUGUAACUGUAUCUAGGUUCUUCAUAGAUUCAAGGGUGAGAAAAUAGCAACAGAUUGAUAGUAAUUUUUUAGGGUAAAUGAGGUUUUAGAAACAAUACCACAUGCUUUUUUGAUUAAAAUGAUGUGCUGAAGAGGGUAGAAUGAGAGGUGGUUUUCUUUCCUGUUUUCUUUUUUUGCUGGCUUAAUAAAAAUUGCUUACUACAUAACCAUUAUUUUCUCUUUUUACAGACUGUGAAAAAAAAGAGUUGUUCAGACACUAGUUCAGUGGUUGAAGGCAGUGUUGUCACCCUGACAUGCAACACAGCGGCAGUGACAUGCAAAAAGUAAAAUACAAUAUGAUCUGCAAUAGACUACAAAAAGAUAAAUAAGACUGCAAAAAGUGAAAUAUGAGAAUGAAACAUACCGUUUGAUGUGCAGAAAAUAAUAUGAAUAGAUAAAUAAUACAGACUGUAAUGGAUGCAAAAAUCUAUAAAAUGAAUGUAAAAGUGACACACAAAAACAAAACAAAAAAAGCAGAACUAUUGGUUUACAUCUCUGUUUUGUUUACAGUCAAAAGUAAUUUUUUUCAUCCUCCGUGGUAAUAGCUGGUUUAAAGUGAUAUUGACCUCUCUCCCCUGAAAAACAAAGCCAUAUUCCAUUAAUUUCUAAGAUCAGAAAUGAUGCCAGACAAGACAUUUAUUGAGUAAAUGCUUUGCUUACCGUGACUUGCGUCUGAUGAGUACCACAAUGCCUGCUAUUAUGAUAACCAUUAUAAUAACUCCAAGCACAAUGCCAGUAGUGAAUGAAGAUGCACUUAUUGCUGUGAAGAAUUUGAGACAAUCAAAUAAUACUUUUAAAUAUGGACAUUAUGUCUUAUAUUAUUUUACAUUUCCUUUAGAAAGACAAUAACAAGCUUACAAUAAUAACAAGCUUACAAACACGUUGCCACAAUGUUCACAUUUUAAAGUGUCAGUAAUUUGGCUGACACAUUUGUUUAUCUGUGCUAAAUAAUGUCACGUAAACUGGUCACAGUUUUUGAUAUGAAUCUGCCACAGUCAAAGUCAUGAAAGCUAGGUUUCUCUGAGGAAGUGCCUCAACUUUGUGGAAACAUCUUCUUGUGAAGAACUGACAUUUGCUGUGGACUAAAAAAGGAAGUUUUGCUUUUAUGAGUUGAAUAAUAGAACAGACAAAGAUAUUGGCCAAUCCAUUAGUUUUGGCCUUUUUUUUUUUCUUGUCGUACAUGUUUAUGUCAACUGACAAUAUGCAUAAUUUUAGAUAUGAUUUGGAUUUUUAAACAAUCAUAUUUCAUUGUUGUGGGGGUUUUAGUAAACUAUAAAAUCCUAAACACAAAAUAAAUAUUUUAUAAUACAGAGGAAUAACCUGGUUAAUAAUUAAUGGUAACAUUACAAUAAGGUUCCUUUAACAUUAGUUAACUGCAUUAGUUUACAUGAACUAACAAUAAAAAUAUAUUCUGUUAAAUAUAUUUAACAGACCUAUAAAUUCAUAAAGAUAUAUGAUGAAAAUUAAAGAGAUCUUAUAAAUUUUGAAAAUAUUAGAAAAUUUUACAAUUGUGAUUUCCAGGCCAAGAAUGGAAAUUUUACUAGGCCUAGAUGUUUGGGUCUGAAAUAUUUAAUUUUAUUUAUCCUCUUCCUAAAAUGAUUUUAAACCAUACAGUACUGACAAAUGAUUGAAAACUUUCAUUGAACAAAAUAAGCAACUUAAAUGCACUUCUCACACUCUGAAUAAUAAUAAUAAUAAUAAUAAUAAUAAUAAUAAUAAUAANNNNNNNNNNNNNNAUUAUUAUUAAAUAGUUUGAUGAAGAACCUUUAACAUCCAUGGAAUCUUUCAAAUGCACAAAAGGUUCAUAAUAGUGGAAAAAGUAUUCUUUACACUAAGAAAAGAAAAUGGUUAUUUUAAGGACUAUUCACUGAAAAGUUCUUUGAGGAACCCUUUUUUUUUCUGUGCAACAUCCUCCUUUUGGAACAUUUUAUUUUAUGUGCAAUAUAAGAUGAAAUAUUGCAUGUCUAGUGCAUAAGAGACUGUUCUUACAUUUUAUCUGAUGUGUGACCUGUAGAUUCACUCCUCUCUGUCCUGGUAGCUUGGCUUUCAGGUGGUCGGUGAUGAACCGGAACACGUACACGCCGCUGUCUUCUGACCUCAGAUCAGAUAUCAUCAGAGAGCAGUUUUUGCUUCCUGUCUGCCCCAAGUACUUGACUCGGCCCUGGUAUGAGGGCUCAGGGAAUAUCCCUGCACUGUGGUACACGUAUCUGGGAGUAAUGCAGCGGCUUUCAUUCAGACACCACAUCUCUGACAGCACUUUGCGCAAUAUUCCCUGGUCAGACUCUUCAGGGUAGUCAUAGGUGCACUCCAAAACUACAGAAGAACCAGAAGUAGCAUAGACUGGAUCCAUAGGAACACGCACUGUCCAGUCAGCAGCAAGAGUGCCUGAAAUGGAAGCAUAUGAGUACUUUUAAAGGAAUCUAAUCAGAAACAGCCGGUUCUACAAUGUAAACAGCAUUCCUAUCUGUGCCUUCUCAAGCAAAUUAUAUACUAAGCAGUAGAAGCGAAACAUUGUGUCGUUGUGCAGUAGGUCUUACCCAACAGAAUCAAAGGCGUCAGGGUCCAUAUGGCUGCAAGGAGAUUCAUCAUCAUGUUGCAGCCUCAAGUAUUUCCUUACUGUGCAGAUGUGAAAACAUUACCCUUGUCUGGUUUUAGUUCCUCCUCCUCCUUUUUUCGUCACUUAUUAUGUCAUUAUUUCCUGCAUGUUGCAAGUUACAUAUUUUUUGUAGUUGUGUGAUAUAUAACUAUAACCCCCAAGAAGCCGUGGUUUACAGAUUUAUAAAUUCACUGUAAACCACGGCUUCACGGGGGCUUAUUGCUUUUAUAAAACGGUUACUCCAUAUAAGUAGUAAGGUUUCACAGAAUAAGACAGAGUUAAAUAAAGUGUAAUGAUAUAAAUAAAAGCAGUAUUCUUUCACCAAACAAUGUGGUUCCAACCAAGUGGUUGCCGAGCAACACACAGAAAUAAACAAAGGUGUAUGUUUGUAGAGUAAUUUACAACGCGGCUCAACCAAUCAGAAUCAAGGACCGGAACUAUCAGUUGAAUUAUUAGGAAAAAUAAUGCACACCCGAGGUGGUGAUGCGGCCAGGACGCGAAGUAUUCCGCUUAUACUAUGGUUACCACACUUCAAGACAUCGAUCAGAUAAUAUAUUUAAAGGGAUUCAUCGGUUUUUGUACUUAAAUCGCUAUUGUGAGUAGGAUUAUUUCUUCCGCAUCUCAUCAAACGCCUCUUUUGCUGGUUCCAAAACAUCAUUUUAAGGCUGGUAAUGGAGGCUUGAGCCAUUGAUAGCAAUCUAAUGCAGUUAUUAAUGAAGUUAUUAGAAAGAGAGCGAGAGAGACAGAGACACACAGAGAAAGAAAGAGAGAGAGAGAGAGCUUGUGUGUAUUAGUGCUGUUAUUAUCUCGCUGAGUGAGAAAUGUCAUGUGUAUUUACUUUCGGAAAAUAUAUAUAUUUAUGAUAUAAUUCCCAUGUUAUGUUAUUUUAUGAAAAAC
rnacentral:lncRNA from 12 species